rnacentral:rRNA from 1 species
AACGAACGCUGGCGGCAGGCCUAACACAUGCAAGUCGAACGCAUCGCAAGAUGAGUGGCGCACGGGUGAGUAACACGUGGGAAUGUAUCCUUUGGUUCGGAAUAACGUUUGGAAACGAACGCUAAUACCGGAUGAGCCCUACGGGGGAAAGAUUUAUCGCCAAAGGAGCAGCCCGCGUCUGAUUAGGUAGUUGGUGGGGUAAUGGCCUACCAAGCCGACGAUCAGUAGCUGGUCUGAGAGGAUGAUCAGCCACACUGGGACUGAGACACGGCCCAGACUCCUACGGGAGGCGGCAGUGGGGAAUAUUGGACAAUGGGCGCAAGCCUGAUCCAGCCAUGCCGCGUGAGUGAUGAAGGCCUUCGGGUUGUAAAGCUCUUUCGCACACGACGAUGAUGACGGUAGUGUGAGAAGAAGCCCCAGCUAACUUCGUGCCAGCCGCCGCCGUAAUAC